UGCAGUCGACGCGAAGUGGAGCAAUCCAUGAGUAGAGUGGCAAACGGGUGAGUAACACGUGGGCGACCUACCUUUGAGUGGGGGAUAACCUUCCGAAAGGAGGGCUAAUACCGCAUGACAUUCUGUGUUUGGAUACACGGAAAUCAAAGCCGGGGAUCGUAAGACCUGGCGCUUGGAGAGGGGCCCGCGUCCGAUUAGCUAGUUGGUGAGGUAACGGCUCACCAAGGCUCCGAUCGGUAUCCGGCCUGAGAGGGCGGACGGACACACUGGAACUGAGACACGGUCCAGACUCCUACGGGAGGCAGCAGUGGGGAAUUGUUCGCAAUGGGCGAAAGCCUGACGACGCAACGCCGCGUGGAGGAUGAAGAAUUUCGGUUCGUAAACUCCUUUCGACCGAGAUGAACACCUCGCGAUCUAAUACAUCGCGGGGCUGACAGUAUCGAGAGAAGAAGCCCCGGCUAACUCUGUGCCAGCAGCCGCGGUAAUACAGGGGGGGCAGGCGUUGUUCGGAAUUACUGGGCGUAAAGGGUUCGUAGGUGGCCGACUAAGUCAGACGUGAAAUCCCUCAGCUUAACUGGGGAACCGCGUCUGAUACUGGUUGGCUUGAGUGCAGGAGAGGAACGCGGAAUUCCAGGUGUAGCGGUGAAAUGCGUAGAUAUCUGGAGGAACACCGGUGGCGAAGGCGGCGUUCUGGACUGCAACUGACACUGAGGAACGAAAGCCAGGGGAGCAAACGGGAUUAGAUACCCCGGUAGUCCUGGCCCUAAACGAUGAAUGCUUGGUGUGGCGGGUAUCGAUCCCUGCCGUGCCGAAGUUAACGCAUUAAGCAUUCCGCCUGGGGAGUACGGUCGCAAGGCUGAAACUCAAAGGAAUUGACGGGGGCCCGCACAAGCGGUGGAGCAUGUGGUUUAAUUCGACGCAACGCGAAGAACCUUACCCAGGCUCGAAAUGCAGAUGACCAUCGGCGAAAGUCGACUCCCGCAAGGGCAUCUGUAUAGGUGCUGCAUGGCUGUCGUCAGCUCGUGUCGUGAAAUGUUGGGUUAAGUCCCGCAACGAGCGCAACCCUUGUUUCCUGUUGCCUCCCGUAAUGGUGGG
rnacentral:rRNA from 1 species